CGGCCUACCAAGGCUACGAUGGGUAGCUGGUCUGAGAGGAUGGUCAGCCACACUGGGACUGAGAUACGGCCCAGACUCCUACGGGAGGCAGCAGUCGAGAGGCUUCGGCAAUGGGCGAAAGCCUGACCGAGCGACGCCGCGUGAGCGAUGAAGGCCGUAAGGUCGUAAAGCUCUGUUAGCGGGGAAGAAACACUAUAUCGUUAAUAGCGGUAUGGUUUGACGUUACCCGCAAAGAAAGCUCCGGCUAACUCCGUGCCAGCAGCCGCGGUAAUACGGGGGGAGCGAACGUUGUUCGGAAUCACUGGGCGUAAAGGGCGCGCAGGCGGCCCGGUAAGUGAGACGUGAAAGCCCCUGGCUCAACCAGGGAACGGCGUCUCAUACUGUCGGGCUUGAGGUCGGGAGAGGAGACGGGAAUUCUCGGUGUAGCGGUGAAAUGCACUGAUAUCGGGAAGAACACCAGUUGCGAAGGCGCGUCUCUGGCCCGAACCUGACGCUCAGGCGCGAAAGCUGGGGGAGCAAACAGGAUUAGAGACCCUGGUAGUCCCAGCUGUAAACGGUGGGCACUAGGUGUGGGGGGCAUCGACCCCUUCCGUGCCGUAGCUAACGCAUUAAGUGCCCCGCCUGGGGAGUACGACCGCAAGGUUGAAACUCAAAGGAAUUGACGGGGGCCCGCACAAGCGGUGGAGCAUGUGGUUUAAUUCGAUGCAACGCGAAGAACCUUACCUGGGCUUGAUAUGCACUGGACAGGUGUGGAAACACACUUUCCCUUCGGGGUCGGUGCACAGGUGCUGCAUGGCUGUCGUCAGCUCGUGUCGUGAGAUGUUGGGUUAAGUCCCGCAACGAGCGCAACCCUUGCCCUUAGUUGCCAGCACUUCGGGUGGGCACUCUAGGGGGACUGCCGCCGAUGAGGCGGAGGAAGGUGGGGAUGACGUCAAGUCCUCAUGGUCCUUAUGUCCAGGGCUACACACGUGCUACAAUGGCCGGUACAGAGGGUUGCGAUGCCGCGAGGUGGAGCUAAUCCCAAAAAGCCGGUCUCAGUUCGGGUUGCAGUCUGCAACUCGACUGCAUGAAGCUGGAAUCGCUAGUAAUCGCUGAUCAGCAGGCAGCGGUGAAUAUGUUCCCGGGCCUUGUACACACCGCCCGUCAAGCCACGAAAGUCGGCAGUACCCGAAGUCGCUGACCCAACCGUAAGGAGGGACGCGCCGAAGGUAAGGCUGGCGAUUGGGGCUAAGUCGUAACAAGGUA
rnacentral:rRNA from 1 species